rnacentral:piRNA from 1 species
AAAGGAACAAAGAAGGAACUCCGG